UUUUGCAGACAAAAUUUGGUAUUUCGGGUUACCUGCUCGAAAGGGACAUAUAUCCGGUCUCUCUGUGCAGAUCUUGGAAAGGCUCUUGGGAGUUGCGCUCAUUUAACUGCUCUCCGAAGAGACUCAAUUGGAGAAUAUUCAGCAGAUGACGCUUGGGAUUUUCCAGAACUUGAACAAGAAAUAACCAAAUCCUAUUUCUAAGAAUACAACAAUUAUUUAUUUUUAUAUCAGUUUUUGCAUUUAUUUUAUUUUAAUGAUGGUAGCCGUAUUCACUUAGAUUUCAGGUGCAAAGAUUUAUCUUGUUCCACCAACCUGAGGAUUAUAUUGGAGGUCUAUGUAUGCCAUUAAGAACCGUUUGUAUAUGCUUUUGCAGAAAGAAAAUCGAAAAUAUCAACUCAAAAAUCAAUAAAAUACUGAUUAGGAACUCGAUCUAUAAA